rnacentral:lncRNA from 1 species
CAGGUUCCUCCUCCUCCUCCUCCUCGUAGUGCUGAGCUGUGAGGGGGCUCCAGUGCUGCUUUUUCACCGAAACAAAGCGGACAGCCUUUCCCAGCAGAGCGUGCAGGGUGGCUGUUGUGGGAGAGGUGAGGUUAUUCCUGAAAGGAGAAAGGUGCAGAGACCCGAGUGACUCCAGUGUGUUUGGGCAUUGCGCUCAAAACUAUGCAGCAGCAGCCUUUCAGCAAGGGUAGAGCACAGAGGGGCAAUAGAGCUGUUGUUCUGUGUGCCAGGCUUAGAGGCCUGGACAGUUUGCAGCAAUUCUUCCCAAGGCUGCAAUAGGGAAGUGACCUUUGGAAGGAGAUGUUGCCACUGUGAUCUGCUCUGAGCCUUAGCAGUGUGAGCUUAGAAAGUCGGCACAGAUGAAGUUACAGUUUAGUGUGAGGCUGAGUGCUUGGACCUGUUUCUUCCUUCUUUUAAGAGCAAUAUGUAUUUUGUAUCUAUUUUUAAGUUAAUCGGAAAUGUUAUUUAUAGUCGGUUGUGCACCUCUGUGUAUUCUGAAGUCUCACAGCACAGGACUGGGUGGGAAAACCUGAGAGACUGGAAAGAACGUGGAAGCGAUGGUCGAGGGAAAAAACAGAUGGCCAGUCUGCUCCAAAGGUCUUACGAAGAUGCAGAUAUGUUUCACUCUUCACACAAAAAUACCUUCAUCACAGAUUUUGCAAGCUGUGUACUACAAUCCAUGUACUGCUGUCUGGAGUUUUGUCGGUUGUUCUGCUGGAAUACGUGCAAUAAUAAACAGUUAUCUGCUCACUGUAUCCAUGUUUAUCUUUGCGAGUGCCUUGCACUGGAUGACAGGCACGUGCUAAUUCAGACCUUGUCUCAUAAAUAACCUGUUGGCUGUGUUUUCUCUAGAGGAUGGCUCAGCUCGGAGGGGAAGGCUGAUCCGUCAGAGCCCCAGACGUGGAGGAGGAGGUGAGCCAGGCUCCAACCUGGGAUGCCUCACACUGUCAGUGCCUGCAGGAUCUGGGCUCUCUGGGAACUCAGGGCUGCCCUGGCCUCUGCACAAAGCACACAGUGCUGGUGGUGCUGAGUGCCCCCAGGAUUACCAGCAAGGGAAGAAAACAGAACAUCACCAACCAGAAACUGGUUGGCAGAGUCUGUGUGCCAGCUGUGGGGUGCAGAUUGCAGACAGUGCUGUUGUGCUGCUGUUAAAGCCUCAUCCCAAACACAGCGAUGCUCUGGGAGCCAUGUGUCAGCACCAAGCCACCUGGGCUGUGUUCAUGCAACAAUCAGAGCUCCAUCGGUAUGCCUUCAACAGGUCUGUGCUGCCUGCCAUCCCCUGGGGCUGCUGCCACAUUUCUUCUAGACCAUGCACUGCUGCCUGCUCCCCCAGCACCAUGCCUCUGUGCUUGGAGAGGGGUAAUUCUUGCUAACCUGCCGCCCUCAGUUCCUCUGCACCGACUUAAAGGCUUGUGGAUGUGGUCAGGACACAAAUGGGGGAAAGGAGCAGUGUUGCACUGUGGCUGACUGCACAGAGAGGAGGCAAUCGCAGGAGUGCCCCAGGACCCUGUGCAGCAUCAGCCCCAUAAGCCCACAAAUGGAUGGAUGCCAACGCCUGUCAGCAAUCUGCCCUUCUGGUGCAAAAACUCACUUGCUCCUAGUAAAUCUGAAGUCAUGGCCUCUUACAUCCAUAUUAGUCCCUAAAAUUUCAUAGUGAACGGACAAAGUAAUGGGAAAGCCAGAUAUGAGGGACAGGGAAAUGGUAGUGAGGGCAAGAGUGAUUUAGGAGAAGGAUGGGAGAACAGAGCCC